rnacentral:rRNA from 1 species
GUAAUAGAAAUCCAUGUCCUACAGAGGCAGAAUUUAAAACUUGUUGUCCUCUUGCCUAAUAGGCAAAGAAUGACCUCUAUAGAAAGACUGAUUCAUUCAGAUCGAUAUGAGGACCCAACUCCGUUGCAUUGCCAGAAUCAUGUUCUAUAUUCAAAGCGGGUUGAUCUCUGUGCUUCUCUCAUGGUACAAUCCUCUUCCUGCUGA